rnacentral:rRNA from 1 species
AUUGAACGCUGGCGGAAUGCUUUACACAUGCAAGUCGAACGGCAGCACGGACUUCGGUCUGGUGGCGAGUGGCGAACGGGUGAGUAAUGUAUCGGAACGUGCCCAGUCGUGGGGGAUAACGUAGUGAAAAUUACGCUAAUACCGCAUACGAUCUAUGGAUGAAAGCGGGGGAUCGCAAGACCUCGCGCGAUUGGAGCGGCCGAUAUCAGAUUAGGUAGUUGGUGGGGUAAAGGCCCACCAAGCCAACGAUCUGUAGCUGGUCUGAGAGGACGACCAGCCACACUGGAACUGAGACACGGUCCAGACUCCUACGGGAGGCAGCAGUGGGGAAUUUUGGACAAUGGGCGAAAGCCUGAUUCAGCCAUUCCGCGUGCAGGACGAAGGCCCUCGGGCUGUAAACUGCUUUUGUACAGAACGAAAAGGUUUCUACUAAUACUAGGAGCUCAUGACGGUACUGUAAGAAUAAGCACCGGCUAACUACGUGCCAGCAGCCGCGGUAA